rnacentral:rRNA from 1 species
GCGACCCCAGGUCAGGCGGGAUCACCCGCUGAGUUUAAGCAUAUCAAUAAGCGGAGGAGAAGAAACUAACAAGGAUUCCCUUAGUAGCGGCGAGCGAACCGGGAAGAGCCCAGCUUGAAAAUCGAAUGUCUUUGGCAUUCGAAUUGUAGUCUGGAGAAGCGUCCUCAGCGACGGACCGGGCUCAAGUUCCCUGGAAAGGGGCGCCAGAGAGGGUGAGAGCCCCGUCGUGCCCGGACCCUGUCG